UACGAAGGGGGCGAGCGUUGCUCGGAAUCACUGGGCGUAAAGGGUGCGUAGGCGGGUCUUUAAGUCAGGGGUGAAAUCCUGGAGCUCAACUCCAGAACUGCCUUUGAUACUGAGGAUCUUGAGUUCGGGAGAGGUGAGUGGAACUGCGAGUGUAGAGGUGAAAUUCGUAGAUAUUCGCAAGAACACCAGUGGCGAAGGCGGCUCACUGGCCCGAUACUGACGCUGAGGCACGAAAGCGUGGGGAGCAAACAGG
rnacentral:rRNA from 1 species